UGGGGUCUAGUUCAGGGGUAGAGCGAUCGCUUUGCAUGUGAGAAAUCUGGGGUUCGAUUCCCUAAACCUUCCAU